rnacentral:misc_RNA from 1 species
UUCAGGGAUUGUGGAGUUGAAAGAGAAAGUGGCCAAGAGGUUGAAGUUGGAGGUGGGUAAUUUUGAUAUAAAGUACCUGGAUGAUGAUCAUGAAUGGGUUUUGAUAGCCUGUGAUGCAGACCUGCAGGAGUGUAUUGAUUUUUCAAGAUCAUCAGGCAGCAGUAUAAUCAGAUUGUCAGUUCAUGAUAUGAAUGCCAAUCUUGGAAGCUCCUGGGAGAGCAAUGGCGAGUUAUGAUUAGGUUGUAU